rnacentral:rRNA from 1 species
CGGCGGACGGGUGAGUAAUGCCUAGGAAAUUGCCCUGAUGUGGGGGAUAACCAUUGGAAACGAUGGCUAAUACCGCAUGAUGCCUACGGGCCAAAGAGGGGGACCUUCGGGCCUCUCGCGUCAGGAUAUGCCUAGGUGGGAUUAGCUAGUUGGUGAGGUAAGGGCUCACCAAGGCGACGAUCCCUAGCUGGUCUGAGAGGAUGAUCAGCCACACUGGAACUGAGACACGGUCCAGACUCCUACGGGAGGCAGCAGUGGGGAAUAUUGCACAAUGGGCGCAAGCCUGAUGCAGCCAUGCCGCGUGUGUGAAGAAGGCCUUCGGGUUGUAAAGCACUUUCAGUCGUGAGGAAGGCGGCGUCGUUAAUAG